rnacentral:rRNA from 1 species
UACGUAGGGUGCAAGCGUUGUCCGGAAUUAUUGGGCGUAAAGAGCUCGUAGGCGGUCUGUUGCGUCGGCUGUGAAAACCCGGGGCUCAACCCCGGGCCUGCAGCCGAUACGGGCAGACUAGAGUUCGGCAGGGGAGACUGGAAUUCCUGGUGUAGCGGUGAAAUGCGCAGAUAUCAGGAGGAACACCGGGGGCGAAGGCGGGUCUCUGGGCCGAUACUGACGCUGAGGAGCGAAAGCGUGGGGAGCAAACAGG